UUUUGAAUAGAAUCAGAAACUUGACUUAACUCAGCGACUUGAGAAAAAUUCAUGUGUUUAAAUCAAGAGAAUUUCAUACAUAAAGAGUAAACAUAAUCAGGGUGGCCAGCAAGCUGGAAACCUGGAAAAAAAGUUAGAAAAAAGUUAGUUAAGGACAAAUUUAUGCGAGUUUUAUUGCUGCUUUUUCUGUAAAUCCACACAUUAAACUUUUAGAUUAUAAUACAUGUAUAACUUUGAGUUUUUUAUAGCCACAAAAAGUCUAGGAAAAUGAACAUGAAAAUUUUCUGACCACCCUGAUUCUGUAAAAUGUCAGCGUAAGAUAUAGUAUUUAUUUAUGACAAUGAUUGAUUACUAUACUGAACUAAUUUAGAAAUAUAAUGGAGAGGAAGCAGUAAAUAGAACUUUAAGACUCUAAUCUAGUACAGUGACAUAUUUAAAAAACAAAAUUAGUUUAAAAAAUAAUUGUUUUUUAAGGAUUCAAGACUGGAUUGAAUUUGCAGUCAUAUAGUAUAAUUCGAUAUUCUAUUCAAUGUUUAAUUUUUGGAUUUAGAUGUGCUUUUGUUGUAAAUGUUAAAAAAAUAAGUUUUUCUUACAUUUGUAGGUGGAUAAGUUAUUGCUACAGCAAUCUACAUCAACAGCAAGCGCUAGUAUAUCGUCUACAGAGUCCAUUUUUGAAAGAUGCUUAACAAAAUCUGAUGUGGAUUUACUUGAAGAAAAAGUCAAGGCUAGCAAUGUUUUCAAGGGUAGAGUGAUGAAUUCCCAUAGCGGUUGUGGAGGUAAUACUCCAUAUAAAUCGGCUUUUGCUAUUGGGAAGCUGUUGAUGAGCGAGGACGCUGGGGCCUGUUUCAAUGUCUCUAGCGGUUCUUUGAAAAUAAAUUUUAAAACAUACACCUUGUAUCAUAUAAUAAUAGAUGCGAUUACACGACAGCAUCACAAUGCAAAAAUUAGCGAAUGUCAUUCCGGCAUUUCAGAAUUUUCAAGGCAAUCCGGUACACGGCUCAACCGAAAAGUUUUAAAAAUAAGCAACGCUGCAA
rnacentral:lncRNA from 1 species